rnacentral:lncRNA from 10 species
UAACAAUGCUUCUAAAGUCUCUCUGACCUAGAACUCGGCCCCCAGGCUUCCAGAAAUGUCUAUCUGGUUCAACACCAUUUCUCUUCUGAAUGCAUAGCUCUGCUGUACUGCUUCCAGCCAGACCUCACACUGACCUCUUCCCCUGUGUUCUCAACUCCCCAUGGCCAUUCUGUCAAACUUUUUUCUUGGCGCAUGAAUGUCCUUUCCAUUUCCUCUUCAGUUCUCUAAGGAACACUAUGACUCUGGCUGCCAAAUGGAUAGGAUGCUUUUUAAGGCACAGCUUUGAAAAAAUGGCCACUUGGUGAAUGACAAUAACCAAAUCUUAAAAGAAAAUUCAUUAGCGUGUUCUUGGGAAGCUUGGAGGACAGCUACGUCUACGUCUAUGCAAGUUCUAGAGGCUGAUAAGUCCAAGCAUAUGGUGCCAGCAUCUGGUGAGGCCUUCUUGCUGUGUAAUCUCAUGGCAGAAGAGUGGAAGGACAAGUGAGCACAUGCAAAAGGGAUUGUACAAGACUUAUCUUUUAGUCUCCAGAGGCAGAAAAAAAGCAGAAAAGGUUGUUGAAAUUCUUCACAUUGAUUUCAGGGCAAUGAUCUCAAACGGCGCAGUGGGAACCCGCAAAUUUAAGAGCAAAGCUAGAGGAAACCAAAGUCAUAGAACAUCUGAACUCUGUCCAAACAUCGGUCGUAUUUCAAAAUUUCAGAGCCUCAGACUUCCAUGAUAAUAUCUGCCUAGUCUUUAGAAGAGUGUAUGGAAGUGUUCAAGAACCUUUCCUGAAACAACUUCUAUUACAGACACUGCUUCUUCAUGGUUAUUCCAUCAGAUUGCAAUCACUUAUAUGUUUUUUUCCACUCUUCCUUAUAUUAUGAGCACUUUUCACGUAGGGGUUCAUCUCUUUAAUAAUCAUAGCUCCCAACACAAUUGUAGGCUUAUAUUAGAUGCUCGAUAAAGAUGAGUUGAGUUAACAUGUAAAGUAAUGAAUGAGUAAGGAAAAAUAGAAUAGUUUCGAAUUAAUGCAUGUUACUGCUACUGUAAAUUUAAUGUUUUCAUUUCUAUUACUAUUUAUAUAUAAAUUUAAUUAAUUGUUAACUUUCUUUGCCAUCCAUACAUCUAUUUAUCUGCUCAUUUGAAAAUCUCUUUCCUGUUUCCUAUUAUUCAAAAUAUUAAAAGCAAAUAUUACUUAAAUAUUUAAAUCACUCUUUUUCCAUGUUAAGUUUCUCAGGAUGCAGAAUGUUGCUGUACACUGAGAAAUAUUAGGCGAUACAAAAUGGCUACUAUAACGUAAUGUUCUAGAAAAUGAUAAAAGUCAAACCCAUUGGUUUUUGCUGCCAACACAAGUUUGUCAAUGUAAUUAAUGCCCUUUAGCCUGGGAGGGUUGUAUGACAGGAAAAAUGGCAUCAAAGCCAUUUUUAUUUAAAAAAUAAAUUUAAUAUUACUUGAUAAUAAGGGAGCUAUAUAAGCAAAAAUCUUAGAAUUUUCUUUUUCUUUUUUUUCCUUAGUUUCACAUCUUUCUACAUAGUAUCCAAAUCCCAGUUGUUGAUACUAAUUUUCUUGCCUUCUUACCCUUAACAAGUUUGGAGACAAAGUUAAUAUCAUUAGUAGUAUGUAAACUAAUUCCUAAAGCAAAAGUCUCUAAAAGUGUGAUCCAUGUCCCAUUUUUUAUUGGUCUGCAAUGAGGUAAGCACAGAAAUUUUAAUCACCUCCACGCAUACCUUCAAUGAGCAACAUGUACAGUUUUUUGAGACUCUUCUCUCUUUUCCUGUUAUUUUCUGAUUGCAUUUAUAAAAAUGCAAUUUUGUGUUUGUUGAAUCUGAUGAUAAAAAAUGAGGAAACACCGCAUAUUCUCACUCAUAGGUGGGAAUUGAACAAUGAGAUCACAUGGACA